rfam:Photobacterium damselae subsp. damselae CIP 102761 Contig58, whole genome shotgun sequence.
GCAACGCAGGCUAAUGUGUCUCGAUGAUUUCAAUUUGGAAUCCCAUAAGCCUACGCUGCGAUGUUGUGUUUGCAUAUUGUCCGAACCCUGUCGGACUGGUAGAUGAUUCUACCGAUUUACUUCCUGUAUUUUUGACCUGUCUGUCAAAGUUUCUAUUGUUAGCACUGCGCCCCAACGCAGUGCUAUUUUUU